AUGGAAACCAAUGGGUUAUCACUCAAGACUCAGGAAAUCAGGUCAAAAAGGAAGUGGGAGACAACUGCAGAUCUCAGCCGCCGCUGCGGCAGUAACCAACAUGAAAGUCCAUGGGAAGGCGGUACAACAGAGCAUCAGGACAAAAUGAAUGGGAUAAUCACUUGUUUGGUUUGUGGCGAGGAAGGACAUUACAGUUGUGACCGGCCUUUCAAGGAUCAGGAACACAAAGUUAUUUGCACAGUUUGUAGCAAAAAUGGCCACUGGAGCAUAUCGUGUUGCCAGCAGAACAAGUCACAGAAUCGCGCUUGCACCCGCUGUGGAGAGAUAGGGCAUAGUACUAGUACACAUGGUCUCCUCAGUUGCUCAAGCUGUGACGAAUAUCAUCCGCAUGGAGAGUGUCGAUUGAGCAAAGUUAAAUGCUUUAUUUGUGAAAGUCAGGAUCAUUAUCCUGCUCAGUGCCCCUUGAAUUGGGUAUUGAAUGCAGCGUUUCAGGAUCAGAGAGAGAACUUCGAAGCUGCUCUGUGGCUUGCACUAUCAAAACAAGUCAACACAUUAUCUAAACGGACCUGCAGUCCAAUAGCCAGGGAAUACAACUUAAGGACAAGGAUAUGCUUUACAUGCCGUGAAGAAGGUCAUGUUGCCUUUUACUGUCCUCAGAAAAGAAGAUCAAUAUUGCUCGACCUAUCCAAAGAAUUUGAAGAGAGGAGCACCAUAGCUAAAUCCUCCAACCUGUCCAAAGAAUUAGAAGAACGGGACCCUGGUACUGGUAGUGCUAAACAAUCAUCAAAAAUGAAACCGGCAUCGGUUCUUCGAUGUGUUAGCUGUGGUCAGGAAGGCCACAGGGCCAGGAGCUGUCCAACACGAGUGUUUAUAUGCUCCAUAUGCAAUGAAGAAGGCCACAGGGCCAGGAGCUGUCCAACACGAGUGUUUAUAUGCUCCUUAUGCAAUGAAGAAGGCCACAAAGCCAAGAAAUGCCCUCAGAAGCGCCAGAAGCGUUAA
rnacentral:rRNA from 1 species